rnacentral:rRNA from 1 species
AUUGAACGCUGGCGGCAUGCCUUACACAUGCAAGUCGAACGGCAGCACGGGAGCAAUCCUGGUGGCGAGUGGCGAACGGGUGAGUAAAGUAUCGGAACGUGCCCAGUCGUGGGGGAUAACGUAGCGAAAGUUACGCUAAUACCGCAUACGAUCUAUGGAUGAAAGCGGGGGAUCGCAAGACCUCGCGCGAUUGGAGCGGCCGAGAUCAGAUUAGGUAGUGGGUGGGGUAAAGGCUCACCAAGCCGACGAUCUGUAGCUGGUCUGAGAGGACGACCAGCCACACUGGGACUGAGACACGGCCCAGACUCCUACGGGAGGCAGCAGUGGGGAAUUUUGGACAAUGGGCGAAAGCCUGAUCCAGCCAUGCCGCGUGCAGGAUGAAGGCCUUCGGGUUGUAAACUGCUUUUGUACGGAACGAAAAGGUUUGGCCUAAUAAGCUGAGCUCAUGACGGUACCGUAAGAAUAAGCACCGGCUAACUACGUGCCAGCCGCCGCAGUAA